rnacentral:lncRNA from 1 species
GACACCCUUCUCUUUUGUUUGACAAAUCAAGUCGUGCGGAUAAGUCUCUUCUCUCUUUCACCCCAUUCGGCCGCUCAUUUUGUUUUUUUCUUUCUUCCUGAUACAACCCAUAUAUAUAUAGUCUCCUUCCUUUCCGGCUGUAUCUUUUUGCUCCUUCAACUAUAUACAAGUCCGGCUUCCGAGUAUGCAGACCUGCGUGUAUGGAUGUCGCCGUUUUUGUCUCUUUUCUUGAUCAUUUUGACCGAGAGAUCCAGACUGAGAUAACCUUUAACAGCACCAGCGCCACUUUCCCAUAGCCCCCCCUUAAAAGUAGACUAUACGGAUGGAAGAAGGUCAACGAAGCUCAUUGUCACUAUUUCGCUGUCGGAUGGAAGCGAUACCGAUCCGAAACCUGUGGAUUGUAUUAUCGAAACGGACCAUCUUUCGGCCGGUCAAUACUCACACGUACUGUACCCCCACUACGCGAUAUAUAUCGAAGAAGCCUUCGUUAUAGCUGCGCAAUGAUUUCCCAUGUCAUUCCGAACGUGCUGGCUGGUUAGCGGGAAUGAUUUCCGUCAUUGGCUUUAUGGCAAAUUAUCCCUGGACAGAGGCAUCGAUGCUUAUCGAAAAGAAAAAAAGAAGUGGCACACGUGUGCAGGUUUUCUCCUGGACCAAUUGCUCGCUUCCGUCAAGCAAUUCCUCACUCCGUUCUUAGUGUUCAUUAAGCAUGCAACUUCGAUCGGCCUAUACAGCCAAUAAGAGAACAUUUUAAACGAGGAUUGGUCUUAUAGUUUUUGAACUAAAUGCAAAAGACAAGUUGGUGCACUAGCAGCACUUUGUUUUCGUUUAUUUAAAAAACGGCUGGUUUAACAAGAAAACCAACAACUUAAACGAAAUCAGCGUUUAAUUUUGAUUAUGCCGUGUGAUUUUUGUCGAAUUCUAAGAGAUGCCGUUUUUUGCAGAUUUUGACAAAAGUGGGAAGGCUAUACCCUUCCCACUUUUUCAUUUUUGGCCAAAUUUCAAAUUUUGCUCAAAAUACAUUAUUUCGAUUCGGAAUUAAA